UACGAAGGGGGCUAGCGUUGCUCGGAAUCACUGGGCGUAAAGCGCACGUAGGCGGAUUGCUAAGUCAGGGGUGAAAUCCUGGAGCUCAACUCCAGAACUGCCUUUGAUACUGGCGAUCUUGAGUCCGGGAGAGGUGAGUGGAACUGCGAGUGUAGAGGUGAAAUUCGUAGAUAUUCGGAAGAACACCAGUGGCGAAGGCGGCUCACUGGCCCGGUACUGACGCUGAGGUGCGAAAGCGUGGGGAGCAAACGGG
rnacentral:rRNA from 1 species